CCUGCCUUGAUUUCCCUCGGUGAUGGACUACAUGUAACCUGUGGAUCUUUUGGUGGAAAUUAUGAAGUUAGUAGACAGAGAGGAAAAAAGAACUAUAAAAGAAGAGAAGGUCCUGAAAUGGAGCAGCUCUUCUCCAGUGAGAAGAAGUAACACAAGUGUUCUCUUCUUAGCCGGCUUUCAGAACAGAAGACACCCAGCAAGACCUUUAGCUUGUGGUUCACCUGAAAACAUUUGUGUGAGGUUUUCCCUUCUCCAAUCAGUUUUUAGAUCUUUCAUUUUGAUCUUAGGUUUUUAGGACACUUUAGACUUUAUUAUGCUUUUUUGAAUAAGAAUUUAUGGUUUGCCAUUCUUUAUAGAUGGUUCUACAUCUAACUAUUUAUCCAGACUUGGAUAGAAAAUAUUUGAAAAAUCUUGCAUCUGUUCUGAACAUUUACAGACCCCCCAUUAUUCCCUAAAAACACAGUGUACAGCGAUCAGGAGGGAUCUCACUCAUGCCAGCCACAAAGGCUUUACCACUGAGCUAUGUGCCCAGACCCACCUGAAAGCACAUGGGGAAUGUUUGUGGGCUUUACGGGAAUGGAACAUCAUUUGAGGAAGGUACUUGACAUCCACAGAUUUUAACAUCAAUGGGCUAUCCUGGGACUGGCACCCAAAGAUACUGACAUCCACAAGAUGUCCUGGUAUGCCCUGAAGAACCCUGACAUCUGUGAGUGUCUGAUAUAGACUCCCAAGG